GAUGAAGAACGCAGCGAAAUGCGAUACGUAAUGUGAAUUGCAGAAUUCAGUGAAUCAUCGAGUCUUUGAACGCACAUUGCGCCCCCUGGUAUUCCGGGGGGCAUGCCUGUCCGAGCGUCAUUACAACCCUCAAGCUCAGCUUGGUGUUGGGCCCCGCCGCCCCGGCGGGCCCUAAAGUCAGUGGCGGUGCCGUCCGGCUCCGAGCGUAGUAAUUCUUCUCGCUCUGGAGGUCCGGUCGUGGGCUCGCCAGCAACCCCCAAUUUUUUUCAGGUUGACCUCGGAUCAGGUAGGGAUACCCGCUGAACUUAAGCAUAUCAAUAAGCGGAGGA
rnacentral:misc_RNA from 1 species